rnacentral:rRNA from 1 species
GAACGGCUGGCGGCAGGCCUAACACAUGCAAGUCGAGCGGUAGAGAGGUGCUUGCAUCUCUUGAGAGCGGCGGACGGGUGAGUAAUGCCUAGGAAUCUGCCUAGUGGUGGGGGAUAACGUUUGGAAACGGACGCUAAUACCGCAUACGUCCUACGGGAGAAAGCGGGGGAUCUUCGGACCUCGCGCCAUUAGAUGAGCCUAGGUCGGAUUAGCUAGUAGGUGAGGUAAUGGCUCACCUAGGCGACGAUCCGUAACUGGUCUGAGAGGAUGAUCAGUCACACUGGAACUGAGACACGGUCCAGACUCCUACGGGAGGCAGCAGUGGGGAAUAUUGGACAAUGGGCGAAAGCCUGAUCCAGCCAUGCCGCGUGUGUGAAGAAGGUCUUCGGAUUGUAAAGCACUUUAAGUUGGGAGGAAGGGCAGUUACCUAAUACGUAUCUGUUUUGACGUUACCGACAGAAUAAGCACCGGCUAACUCUGUG